GGGAGUGGGCAGGGGGUAAAGGGAGUACAUGAGCUUUACAUAAAGGGACCGGGGAGCUGGGGGGUCUAAAGAAGAAUCCUGUCAGAGAGAAGAAGGCAGACUGUGAAGGGAAAUAAGUCUCUGGGUCUGAAAUGCUUCCAAAUUAAAGAAGUGACUUGGAGAAGAACUCCUUUCUCUGUGAAGGACAGAACACAAGGCAGAAGUCAAGUCCACAGACAUCACGAGAUGGCCAUGCCCAGUCUCCAGCCACCACAGCCUUCCUCUCGACACUCUGUCCGCCGCAGUGAGGACGUGAACUCAAUCUCCUUCCCUCCGCUCAUCUUCAGAAUGGUCCCUGGAGAGCUCUUAGGCUCUAGCUCCACCCUCUACCUUAUAAGGGCUUCCUGUGCCCCAAGAAGCCAGUCUGGAGAGCCACCUAGGAGGGUUGUGCCUCUGGGUGGGCUUCCCAGGCACUUAAAUGUGGAACCUAGAGUCUCCUGGGCUGUUUCCUGCAUCAUCUGCUGAGAAACUUACUCUGGG